AAUAUCUUUUUGGAAAUUGUGGUGAUCAGUGUGCGAUAGAGACGUUUUUAGAGUAUAGUGUUAAACACUUUUUCAAAUUACUGAAAAAUGCCGAGAUGUUGUGCUUUUAAUAUUAUACUUUUUGCGUUGUGCUUUUGGUUGUGAACCUAGCGAUGUUCCAAUUAUGCAUUGUUAUUCCAACAUGAUUCACUAAUCUUAUUAAGUUUCCUGAGAUAUUUCAAUCUUGAGUGUCUUUUGUUGGGGCUAAACUGAAAUCAACUUCCGACUAUGAAUAUUAUAAAGAUAAGAAAAUUUGUGAUAUUCAUUUCACUGAUAAGGACAGAGCUGGAAAUAAUCAGAUAUGCAAAGAAUCAAUUCCUUCAUUACACAUACCUGGACAAUUGCCAGAUCCAAAAGCAUUGGAACAAACUUCAACUUCAGUACAACAGACAGUGUAUACAGUGUAUACAGCUGGGAAACUUACAUAAUUAUCUUGGUGUGAUGGGAUGAAAACUGCUGCGCAGUUGUAUUAUAAUGAAUAUAAAUAUUGGAAAAAUAAAAAAUGAUAAGCA